rnacentral:rRNA from 1 species
UACGCACGCUGGCGGCGUGCCUAAUACAUGCAAGUCGAGCGGACGAUUCGAAAGCUUGCUUUUGAAUCGUUAGCGGCGGACGGGUGAGUAACACGUGGGCAACCUGCCCUGUAGACGGGGAUAACACCGAGAAAUCGGUGCUAAUACCGGAUAACACGAAAUGUCGCAUGACGUUUCGUUGAAAGGCGGCGCAAGCUGCCGCUACAGGAUGGGCCCGCGGCGCAUUAGCUAGUUGGUGAGGUAACGGCUCACCAAGGCGACGAUGCGUAGCCGACCUGAGAGGGUGAUCGGCCACACGGGGACUGAGACACGGCCCAGACUCCUACGGGAGGCAGCAGUAGGGAAUCUUCCGCAAUGGACGAAAGUCUGACGGAGCAACGCCGCGUGAGCGAAGAAGGCCUUCGGGUCGUAAAGCUCUGUUGUUAGGGAAGAACAAGUAACGUAGUAACUGACGUUACUAUGACGGUACCUAACGAGAAAGCCACGGCUAACUACGUG